rnacentral:lncRNA from 1 species
GGAUCUCACCAGGCUUGUGUGACACCAAAUUGCUGCCCCAGGGGCGUUGGAGCUGCUGCAAAUGAAUGUUUAAGUUGCUCUGAGCUCAUUGUCGAGGCAAACAGCUGGCGCUGCUGGAAUAUAGGAUUUCAGCGCUCUGAGUUCAAGGGAAACGGGAAAAAACCCUUUUUUGUGGAGCUCUCAAGGUUUAGCUCCCACCAGGGGCGAGUGGCUUUGUGUCCUGGGCAUUCCGAGUGCCUGAAAAUCCUCCCGAAAUUCCAAUUUCCUGCUCUUUAUUGCUCGGGGAACAUUCAGCCUAAUUGGGGGAGCAGUGGAAGGGGAAUUGCACCAGGAGGAAGAAUCCUCUCCUGGUUGCAGCCAGAAGGUGGAAUCCGCAUCUCCAAACUCUUUUCAACCCUGGGCACGUUGUUCACCAUGACCAAAAUGCUUUCCCUCAAAUGCAGGUGCCGACUCUUGGGUGCAUCCCCAGCACCUCCCCCUCAGCAGGGAGAGUCCAAGGUGGGAAUUGUGCUGGCAGGAUGGGCCCUGGGGUGUUCAAAAAACAAAAGUGGGGGAGAUAAGGAAGGCAAAGGCCACCUUGCCUUGUUUCCAGCAGCCCUGACUGCGUUGUCUCUCCGCUGAACAUCCUGCUCGGCAGCUGAGCCCUCUCCCCAGGGCUUUUCCACACCCCCUCUCCUUCCUGCAGGAGAACGUGGCUCUGCAGAUGGAGGUUGUUUGCUUUGUGGUUACGGAUCCGAGGAGAAAAUAAAAAGGGAGGGG